UACAGAGGGGGCAAGCGUUGUUCGGAUUUAUUGGGCGUAAAGAGCGUGUAGGCGGCCAGGUAGGUCUGCUGUGAAAACUCGAGGCUCAACCUCGAGACGUCGGCGGAAACCAUCUGGCUAGAGUCCGGAAGAGGAGAGUGGAAUUCCUGGUGUAGCGGUGAAAUGCGCAGAUAUCAGGAAGAACACCCGUGGCGAAGGCGGCUCUCUGGGACGGUACUGACGCUGAGACGCGAAAGCGUGGGGAGCGAACAGG
rnacentral:rRNA from 1 species